rnacentral:misc_RNA from 1 species
UCUCCGUAGGUGAACCUGCGGAGGGAUCAUUGCAGAGUUCAUGCCCUACCGGGUAGAUCUCCCACCCUAUGUUAUUAUUACUUUGUUGCUUUGGCGGGCCGUUAGGCUCCGGCCCGACUACCGGCCCCGGCUGGUAAGCGCCCGCCAGAGGACCCAAAACCCUGAAUAUUAGUGUCGUCUGAGUACUAUAUAAUAGUUAAAACUUUCAACAACGGGUCUCUUGGUUCUG